GGGGGGAGCCGGACAAACCGGCUGAGAGGAUUCCCAAGCGGAACGACCCCUUGCACCUGAUCCGGUUAAUGCCGGCGUAGGGACGAGUGGU
rnacentral:ncRNA from 1 species